GGUGUCCCCAGGGAGGGGUCUGUGCCCCCGCAGGGCUGCAGAGCUGCGUGACAGAGACCCCGAGGGUCACACGCCUGUCACCAGCGGCCGUGUCCGGAGCAGAUGCCACCCGCAACACAAUGACACGGGGACAGGAGGUGACGCUGAGGACAUCCUGCUGGUGGCAGAAGGAAUUUCUGCUCCAGCCCCGAUUUCCUCACCCUGUGCUGAACAAGGACGGGAGGGGAAGCUGUCAGCAAGGUCCUGGGGAAUCUGGAGGGCUGGCUUGGGAAGCCUGGACCUGUCCCAACUUCUCCAGAAGAAAAAGUUGAUGAUCUGAGGACCUUCUGCACCUCUGGGCGGGAAGCCGAGCAGGAGGGAUCUUUGGAGGACGAGGAGAGCGGGUGACAGCCUUCCGCGGCCAUUCCCACGCCAGGAUCCGCGUGGAUCGAGGGAUGCGGGGCCAGGACAGCCUCCCUCUGGUUAUCCCCCGCCGCGGGCCAUCUCCCUCUGCUGGCAGGCCGGGGAAGGAGCGGGUGGCCCGGCUGUCCCAAGGCGUGGCAGCAAGGGACACCUGUGUGUGACCAGGGGCACAACAUCCCCCGUGGGUGGUGAUCUGACCCGGAAAAAAGCUGGGACAGAAGAGGAGGUGACAUUUUAUUUCCAAACAAAGCACGCACAGCGGGUGAGAGAGACAACAGACCCACAGCUGGUCUGAGGUGCUUGGCAGAACAUAAAAAAA